GGCCGGGUGGCGCAAUGGUAGCGCGUUGGUUUUCGGUGGUCAGGUUUACCUGGCAAUUCGGAAGCUUACCAAAGGUUGCGGGUUCGAGUCCCGUCGCGGUCA